rnacentral:rRNA from 1 species
UACGGAGGGCGCAAGCGUUGUUCGGAAUCACUGGGCGUAAAGCGCGUGUAGGCGGCUUGGUAAGUCGGGUGUGAAAGCCCGGGGCCUAACCCCGGAACUGCACUCGAAACUGCCUCGCUCGAGACCCGGAGAGGAUGGUGGAAUUCCCGGUGUAGUGGUGAAAUACGUAUAUAUCGGGAAGAACACCAGCGGCGAAGGCGGCCAUCUGGACGGUGACUGACGCUGAGACGUGAAAUCGUGGGGAGCACACAUG